GAUGAACGCUGGCGGCGUGCCUAAUACAUGCAAGUCGAGCGAAUGACGAGGAGCUUGCUCCUCUGAUUUAGCGGCGGACGGGUGAGUAACACGUGGGUAACCUGCCUGUAAGACGGGGAUAACUCCGGGAAACCGGAGCUAAUACCGGAUGAUAACGAGAAGCGCCUGCUUCUUUUUUGAAAGUCGGUUUCGGCUGACGCUUACAGAUGGGCCCGCGGCGCAUUAGCUAGUUGGUGAGGUAACGGCUCACCAAGGCGACGAUGCGUAGCCGACCUGAGAGGGUGAGCGGCCGCGCUGGGACGGAGACACGGCCCAGACUCCAACGGGAGGCGGCAGUAGGGAAUCUUCGGCAAUGGACGAAAGUCUGACCGAGCAACGCCGCGUGAGCGAUGAAGGCCUUCUGGUCGUAAAGCUCUGUUGUCAGAGAAGAACAAGUACCGGAGUAACUGCCGGUACCUUGACGGUACCUGAGCAGAAAGCAACGGCUAACUACGUGCCAGCCGCCGCGGUAACAC
rnacentral:rRNA from 1 species